CCUGCUUAUGCUCAGGGCUCAGACCUUUGGAGAGCAACACUCUCUGAGCCCACCCCUGUUAAAUAAACAUCCAAUGCUCCAAAGUCUCCCAGUGCCGCUUGGUUCUUCCGCCAGGAUCCAGUCCGAGUUCCAUAGCACAUAAUCCUUUUAAGCCCCGUGUCAUGCAGUGAGACCUGCUUUUGUUAAAAUGAGAUAAUAUGAUAUGGAAAUCCACUUGAGUACUAUGAUGCUGGCCCAGGGAAUCAUCAUAGGAAUCCCUGGAGUCUACAUGCCUACCUUUUGAUGUUGUUGCCCUAGAGGGUGCCAAAAGGAAGCAGUGGAAGUGGAGAUCUGAAGAAAAAUACAUGAGGUCCUGAUCUCAGGGUGAGAUCUUGCUCUUCCAGCCCUACCAAACGUCUUGAGACUGGACUUCCUAUUUCAACUCCCUCUCUGCUGGAAAUAUCCUGAAUGCUUCCCAUGCUUCUUAGUAGAAUCUGAUGGAUACAGAAGAAACAAUACAUCAGGCCCCUCUCCCUGGAAGACAAGCUGGAAGAACAAGAGGACAACAACCCAAGCGUCCCCAUAAAACUGUACAACACCAACACCAGAGGAUAAUAGUAUAUUAAGUU